GACGGAGGAUGCAAGCGUUAUCCGGAAUGAUUGGGCGUAAAGCGUCCGCAGGUGGCCGUUCAAGUCUGCUGUCAAAGACCGGGGCUUAACUUCGGAAAGGCAGUGGAAACUGAACAGCUAGAGUAUGGUAGGGGCAGAGGGAAUUCCUGGUGUAGCGGUGAAAUGCGUAGAGAUCAGGAAGAACAUCGGUGGCGAAGGCGCUCUGCCGGACCAUAACUGACACUCAGGGACGAAAGCUAGGGGAGCGAAUGGG
rnacentral:rRNA from 1 species